UACGUAGGGUGCGAGCGUUGUCCGGAAUUACUGGGCGUAAAGAGCUCGUAGGUGGUUUUGUCGCGUUGUUCGUGAAAACCGGGGGCUUAACCCUCGGCGUGCGGGCGAUACGGGCAGACUUGAGUACUGCAGGGGAGACUGGGAAUUCCUGGUGUAGCGGUGGAAUGCGCAGAUAUCAGGAGGAACACCGGUGGCGAAGGCGGGGUCUCUGGGGCAGUAACUGACGCUGAGGAGCGAAAAGCGUGGGGGGAGCGAACAGG
rnacentral:rRNA from 1 species